GGGGAUGUACCGGUUUCGACAGGGGUUUUGAAAUUGGAGAAGCAAGUCGUAGGCAUGCGUUAAAUCCACAAUAAAUAUAAACGCUAACGAUAAUUUAGCAUACGCUGCCUAAUGGCAGCUGUCUGACUUAGAGCACCUAUACUUUAAGACCCAGGCAUCGACUAUGUAGGAAACGACUCAUACAAAGCUUUGAGUAUGUGGGCGUAACAUGAAGCUACUGAAAUCAGAAUCGUGUUGAUUCGAGUCUGACGUAGGGAAUGUUAAAAGAUCAACUAAACUUGUAGAAGUACAAUGGAAGGGCUUUUGGACACGGGUUCAACUCCCGUCAUCUCCACUA
rfam:Clostridium phytofermentans ISDg, complete genome.